rnacentral:rRNA from 1 species
CCUACGGGAGGCUGCAGUAGGGAAUCUUCCACAAUGGGCGAAAGCCUGACGGAGCAACGCCGCGUGGGUGAAGAAGGUCUUCGGAUCGUAAAACCCUGUUGUUAGAGAAGCACGUGUGUUAGAGUAACUGUUCACGCUUCGACGGUAUCUAACCAGAAAGCCACGGCUAACUACGUGCCAGCAGCCGCGGUAAUACGUAGGUGGCAAGCGUUAUCCGGAUUUUUUGGGCGUAAAGGGAGCGCAGGCGGUCUUUUAAGUCUGAUGUGAAAGCCUUCGGCUUAACCGGAGUAGUGCAUUGGAAACUGGGGGACUUGAGUGCAGAAGAGGAGAGUGGAACUCCAUGUGUAGCGGUGAAAUGCGUAGAUAUAUGGAAGAACACCAGUGGCGAAGGCGGCUCUCUGGUCUGUAACUGACGCUGAGGUUCGAAAGCGUGGGUAGCAAACAGGAUUAGAUACCCUGGUAGUC